rnacentral:rRNA from 1 species
CGUGCAGGUGGUUUGGUAAGCUUGGCGUGAAAGCCCCCGGCCCAACCGGGGAGGGUCGUCGAGGACUGUCAGACUUGAGGGGCGCAGGGGUCGGUGGAAUUCCGGGUGUAGUGGUGAAAUGCGUAGAGAUCCGGAGGAACACCAGUGGCGAAGGCGGCCGACUGGGCGCACCCUGACACUGAGACGCGAAGGCGUGGGGAGCGAACG